AUGGCAGUUUCCUUAUCUUUUCUCACAUCUUCCCUCUCUUCACUUUCCUUUUCUUCCAAUAUCUCUCGCAAACCAACCUGUUUUUCUCUCCCCAUAACCUUCUCCCUCUAUCGCUCUUCCAAACUCCCCUCCCUAACCGUAUCCACAACAUCACUCGCUCCUCCCGUCGAAUCAGAAAUCAUUGACUUGAAGUGGAUUUGCAGCUCAGACUAUCUUUGGCACCGGUUGCCGAAAAACUGUCACGCUCGUGUUAUUCUCCAGGAAGGAACCUGCAAAUUCGUCAUUAAUUACGUGACACUAAGAUGUUUCGGAUAG